rnacentral:lncRNA from 1 species
AGUCACAUGACCCCAACUUAACUGCAAGGGAUGCUGGGCAAUAUAGUCCAGUAGUGUGGCUAGCAGGAAAAUUAAAGGGGUUUGGUGAAUCCAUUGCUCCUGCCAUCACCCAGAUUAAAGACCUGCCCUCUCAUCCGGUAAUUAUUAUACUCCCUUUUCUCAAUUAAGCAUCUUCAUCCAUGGAUUGUUCAUUUUAUGGGUAGAUAUGACUCCUUAGAGUAAGGACCAUGGCCUGUGAGCCAACUCCAAGCAGCUGCCUGUUUUUCUUAUGUCCAGCAGUCAGGGAUUGAGUGGGCAAGCACUGUGGGCUGCAGACACCAAGCUCCACCAUGAUUCCCCCUCCACUCUCAGAGGCUCCAUCCAGCUGGCAGGCUCACAGCACUGCAGCCCAGCAUCUGAAGUGUGCAAAUCAGAAAUUGAAAUAAAUGAAGCACGUCUUGAGCAGUGUCAUGGCAAAGGAGUCUGGCUUGUAGAAUGUCUGUCUCUGGAAAUUUGGAGAGCUGGGAGCAGGAGAUGUGAUCGUGGUUCACAACUGCAGCUGGUUUGGGUUGAGUUCUCUCAGUACCAAUACAAGGCGGAUCGAAAUCAGCAAAAUCAACACCAAAGUCACUACUACAAGAGGCAAAGCAUUAGGUGAACACAGCAAGAAGAGAAUUGACAUUGUCUUGGUGGCUAAUCAUGAAGCACAUGGUUUUGUUGUUCUACUAAUUGGCUUGUCACUCUGUCCUCAGAUGUCAACAUUGGUUUAUCACAUCAUAUUCCUCCUGACACAUCUCCUUCCCUCAGAAGGAUGAGUCCAUUAGUUAUGCACCAACUAUCAGAAACUUUUGCAUUGCUGGAGUUGAAGAACAAGUUUUUCACUUGUGUCAGGUGAUGAAGACAAAGUGUUGAUUUUUUGUUCAGAGAUAGAAGAAAACAAUUCUGAGAUACAGUGAGAAGCUCGGAAGAAGUAACCCAGUAUCUAAGCAAAGAGAGGGAUGUGGCUGGGAAUUGCUGGAACAGACUGAGAAACACCUGAAUUUUAAUUAAGCACCAUUACUGAAAAUCACAACACUACUAUUUUGUGGAAAAUAGUUGAGUUACAUGUGUUUAAAAAUAUAUAUAUAUGUUUAUAUAUAUACAUAAAACAUUGUAUGUUAUAUACGUAAUAUAACAUUAUAUAUAGAUAAUAUGAUGUGAUAAACCAAAGUUGUGGGUUAUAAUGAAAGACUACUUUAUUUUGUUGCUCAAAUUGAUGCAACUCUAGCCGUUAUAUAUGUAUGUAAACAUAUAUGUAUAUAUAGUUUGUUUUAGAAAAAAAUUACAUUUACAGAAAACUUUCAAAAAAUCUUAGGGAGAGUUCCCAUGUACUUCUCUUGGCUAUGACACUUUCUCAGACUUUCCUUUUUCAUGAUAACCUUUACAGUUUUGAGGAGAGCACUGGCUAUGAAUUUGUAGAAUUUCCCUCAAUUGGGUUUUGUCUGAUUUUUUAAAUAAUUAGAUGAGGGUUAUGUGUUUUGGGGAGGAAGCCCUCAGAGGUAAAGUCCAUUCUUAACAUUGCAUCACUGAUGUCAUGUCAAGGGUGCACAUCACCAUGAGUUAUCCCUGUUGAGGGUAAUCUCGAUCUUCUGAUGAGCCAGUGUCUUGCAAGCUUCUCCACUGUAAAAUUACUCUUUUCCUUUAUUUCCAUACUCUACUCUUGGGAAUGAAGUUGCCAUAUACAGCCCAGCCUUGACAAGGCUGGGGAUGGUUAUACUCCCAGCCUUUGAGGGCAGAAUUCUCCCAUAAGCUAUUUGGAAUCCUUCUGAAUGGGAAAUUAUUUAUUCUCACAAUUUACUUAUUCAAUCAUGUAUUUAUAUUAGUAUGGACACAUGGAUAUUUAUGUUGUGGGUUACAAUGAAAGACUACUUUAUUUUGUUGCUCAAAUUGUUCCAACUCUAGCCAUUGAGAUUUCUUUUAGUUAGUUCCUGUGUUGCUUCCAUAUAACCUCACUUUACAUCUUUUUCUUAAUUUUUGAACACUUUCUUUCAUGCCCUGCAAGAGGCCCCAGGUUCAUUCUAUAUCUCUCCUGACCUGGUCAUAUAAUCAGGCAUUUCUCCAAGGAAUCAUUUUUCAUUUUACUGGAGAAUGACAUUAGAAAGCAACCUUUGAGCACUAGGUGUGUUCAUUGUUGUCAAUAUCAUUGCUUCUUGGCCUCUCGACUGACAGAGCAUAUAAAUCUACAUGUGUAUACUAACCUGUGCACAUAUACAUAUCUAUAAAUAUCUUAGAUUUAUUUGUAUUUAUAUUAAGAUAAGCAUGAAUACAUGCUGAUAUCUCCAACUCUAAUCCAUUACUACGCAAAUCACUCUGUUCUCUUUCCCUUCAUUAUCUGUAACCGUCCAUGCCAACACUGAGAAUCCUGCAUCUCAGCAUCUUCCCUUUGCUUAUUUUUUCAAUUCCUAUACAUCUAUAUACUGUGAUCAUAAUUUUAAACCAGCACUUCAUAUGGAAGAUACAUUUAUCAACCAAGGUAUAGUGCUUACGUACAGGUUUUUAUGCCUAUAGACUUACAGAUUCCACUAACUUUCAACUUCCACCCCACUCAGUGAGGUGGUUUCAUGUAUUUUCAAUACAGUUACAUGUUCUUUCUCCGCUUUCUCCAUUUCUUCUUGGGUUUCUCCAAAUCUUUACAUGAUUUUUAACAUUUUUAUAUGUGAACAUUAACUCUUUGUGCUGUUGAGUCCUAUAGAUUUUGAUGAAUGUUACAUAUCCACCAUUACAAUAUCAUGCAGAAUAGCUUUAUGGCCAUCAACUAUUCCCUGUGCUUCCACUCUCUCCUUCUUUUUCAAACUCUUGCAACCACUGAUUUUUUUUUUUUUUUUUUUUUUUUUUGAGAUGGAGUCUCGCUCUGUCGCCCAGGCUGGAGUGCAGUGGUGCAAUCUCGGCUCACUGCAAGCUCCGCAUCCCGGGUUCAUGCCAUUCUCCUGCCUCAGCCUCCCGAGUAGCUGGGACUACAGGCGCCUGCCACUGCGCCUGGCUAAUUUUUUUUGUAUUUUUUUAAUAGAGAUGGGUUUCACCGUGUUAGCCAGGAUGGUCUUGAUCUCCUGACCUCAUGAUCCACCCGCCUCGGCCUCCCAAAGUGCUGGGAUUACAGGCGUGAGCCACUGCGCCCGGCCGAUAUUUUUAACUGUCAUCAUAAUUUUGUCUUUUCCAGAAUGUCACAUAAAUGGAAUAAUAGAUUUUGUAGCCUAUUUUAUAUUGGAUUUCUUUCACUUAGCAAUAUACAUUUUAGUUUUGCCCACGUGUUUCAAGAUGUACCAUAUGUCUGAUAUCUCAUGUGUUUCUCUCCGUGGAUAAUAUUCUGUUGCAUGGCAUGGAUGUACAGCAACUUAUUUAUCCAUUCACCUAGUGUAUGGUUCCUUCUGGUUUUUAGCAAUUAUUCAUAAUCAUCUAAAAACACUCACUUUUCCAUAGACAUAAAAUUUCAAAUCAGUUGAAAUGUGCUUGUUUUUAUAUGUUAAUACCUAGGAAUUUGCUUGUUUUUAUAUGUUAAUAAUAUAUCUUGUUUUGUAAGAAACUGUCAAAUUUUCUUUGAAAUGGCUAUACUGUUUUGCAUUUCCACUAGGAAUAAACAACAGCUUCCUGUUGCUCUGCA